UGGGGAAUUUUGGACGAAUUGGGCGAAAGCCUGAAUCCAGCAAUGCCGCGUGUGUGAAGAAGGCCUUCGGGUUGUAAAGCACUUUUGUCCGGAAAGAAAUCCUUGGCUCUAAUACGGUCGGGGGAUGACGGUACCGGAAGAAUAAGCACCGGCUAACUACGUGCCAGCAGCCGCGGUAAUACGUAGGGUGCAAGCGUUAAUCGGAAUUACUGGGCGUAAAGCGUGCGCAGGCGGUUUGCUAAGACCGAUGUGAAAUCCCCGGGCUCAACCUGGGAACUGCAUUGGUGACUGGCAGGCUAGAGUAUGGCAGAGGGGGGUAGAAUUCCACGUGUAGCAGUGAAAUGCGUAGAGAUGUGGAGGAAUACCGAUGGCGAAGGCAGCCCCCUGGGCAAGUACUGACGCUCAUGCACGAAAGCGUGGGGGAGCAAACGGAUUAAUA
rnacentral:rRNA from 1 species